GGGUGAGUAACACGUAUGGAACCUGCCCGUAGCAGGGGGAUAAGCGGAAGAAAUUCCGUCUAAUACCGCGUAAUAACUCCGAGGGGCAUCUCUUGGGGUUUAAAGGGUAACACCGGCUACGGAUGGCCAUGCGGCGCAUUAGCUAGUUGGCGGGGUAACGGCCCACCAAGGCGACGAUGCGUAGGGGUUCUGAGAGGAAGGUCCCCCACACUGGUACUGAGACACGGACCAGACUCCUACGGGAGGCAGCAGUGAGGAAUAUUGGUCAAUGGGCGCGAGCCUGAACCAGCCAAGUCGCGUGAGGGAAGACGGUCCUAUGGAUUGUAAACCUCUUUUGUCGGGGAGCAAAAGACGCCACGCGUGGCGUUCCGAGAGUACCCGAAGAAAAAGCAUCGGCUAACUCCGUGCCAGCAGCCGCGGUAAUACGGAGGAUGCGAGCGUUAUCCGGAUUUAUUGGGUUUAAAGGGUGCGCAGGCGGAAGAUCAAGUCAGCGGUAAAAUUGAGAGGCUCAACCUCUUCGAGCCGUUGAAACUGGUUUUCUUGAGUGAGCGAGAAGUAUGCGGAAUGCGUGGUGUAGCGGUGAAAUGCAUAGAUAUCACGCAGAACUCCGAUUGCGAAGGCAGCAUACCGGCGCUCAACUGACGCUCAUGCACGAAAGUAUGGGUAUCGAACAGGAUUAGAUACCCUGGUAGUCCACACAGUAAACGAUGCAUAAUAGUUGUUCGGG
rnacentral:rRNA from 1 species